UUUCUUUGUGUGAUUUGGCACUUUCGAGUCAGAUCUUGGAGAAGCCACUUGGGCUUACUAUUCUACUACUUUUUGCUGAACCUGGACAUGGCUUCAUACUCCUGACCCUGGGUCGAGUGAACAUUGAUUACAAUUGGAAGAGUCUAGGAAUUCGGCCCAUAGCCAGAAUUCAGGAUAUCCAUGUAAAGAUAUAACAGACAGAUAUUAAUUCAUGGAAUUCGAUG